rnacentral:rRNA from 1 species
CUUACACCUGAAAAAUGUCUGUUAACACCAGAUCGUCUUGAUGCCAAACUCUAGCCCAAUCGACAUGACCUGGAAUAACAAAGCUAUUACAUGCACCCAACUAAAGCAUUUACUAGUCCCAGUAUAGGCGAUAGAAAAGACACCAUUUGGAGCGAUAGAGACUACGUACCGUAAGGGAAAGAUGAAAUAUUAGUGAAAUAAACUAAGCUAAAAACAGCAAAGAUCAACCCUUGUACCUUUUGCAUCAUGGUCUAGCAAGAAAAACCAAGCAAAAUGAAUUUAAGUUUGCCAUCCCGAAACCCAAGCGAGCUACUUACGAGCAGCUAUUAUGAGCGAACCCGUCUCUGUGGCAAAAGAGUGGGAUGACUUGUUAGUAGAGGUGAAAAGCCAACCGAGCUGGGUGAUAGCUGGUUGCCUGUGAAACGAAUCUUAGUUCACUCUUAAUUCUUCUCCAAGGAAACAACACAAACCCUAAUGAAGCGAAUUAAGGGCAAUUUAAAGGGGGUACAGCUCCUUUAAAAAAGAAUACAAUCUCCACGAGCGGAUAAAUACUAAUCUUCUAACAGUACUGUGGGCCCUCAAGCAGCCAUCAACAAAGAGUGCGUUAAAGCUCUACUUUACAAAAAUAUAAGAACAAUAUGACUCCCUCAUCAUUAACAGGCUAACCUAUAUCUAAAUAGGAGAAUUAAUGCUAGAAUGAGUAACCUGGGUAAAUCCCUCUACGACGCAAGCUUACAUCGGCACAUUAUUAACAAACCACCAAUAUACGAUCAAUCAAACAAGCAGAGUAUUAAGUACAUUGUUAACCCGACAGAGGAGCGUCC